rnacentral:rRNA from 2 species
GAUGAACGCUGGCGGCGUGCCUAACACAUGCAAGUCGAGCGCGUCUGAUUUGAUGCUUGCAUUAAUGAAAGAUGAGCGGCGGACGGGUGAGUAACGCGUGGGUAACCUGCCCUAUACACAUGGAUAACAUACUGAAAAGUUUACUAAUACAUGAUAAUAUAUAUUUACGGCAUCGUAGAUAUAUCAAAGUGUUAGCGGUAUAGGAUGGACCCGCGUCUGAUUAGCUAGUUGGUGAGAUAACUGCCCACCAAGGCGACGAUCAGUAGCCGACCUGAGAGGGUGAUCGGCCACAUUGGAACUGAGACACGGUCCAAACUCCUACGGGAGGCAGCAGUGGGGAAUAUUGCACAAUGGGCGCAAGCCUGAUGCAGCAACGCCGCGUGAACGAUGAAGGUCUUCGGAUCGUAAAGUUCUGUUGCAGGGGAAGAUAAUGACGGUACCCUGUGAGGAAGCCCCGGCUAACUACGUGCCAGCCGCCGCGGUAA